rnacentral:lncRNA from 1 species
GCAUUCCCCUUCCAUGAAGUUCCUAAUGGCAAUGCCUUUUUUUGAGUUGUUUUAGGGCAUCCUCCAUCGUUGAGUUUAUAUAGGGCAACCUCAUCUUUUUUGUUUCUUUAAUGCAUGGACCUUCUUUGAGUUCAUUUAGGGAAUGUGAUUUCAUCGAGUCUUAUUAAGGCAUCUUUUUCCAUUAUUUUGUUUAAGGCGUCCCCCUUCAUUCAGUUAAUUUAUGGCAUUCACCUUCCUAAUCUAUGUUUAGAUCAUCCCAUUUUCUUCAAUGUUAUUAAGGCAUCUCCUCCUACCCAUCCCAUAGUUUCU